rnacentral:misc_RNA from 1 species
AAGUCGUAACAAGGUCUCCGUAGGUGAACCUGCGGAGGGAUCAUUCACACGUAUACACGUAUUCUAUUCACUCAACGCGAACUAUGGUGUUUUUAUUAACGCUGAUCUCCCUAGUGACAAAUGGCUGUAAAAAUCAUAUUUGGUAAUGGGUAGAGACGUAAGUCUCUGCAAUAUGUUUUUACUCGAGGUUCGACCUCAAUGCUCUUGUUAUUAGGCUAUAAUUCUUACCAUUACUAACAUUCACCCUUUUCACCCUACUUAAUACCGAUUGUCUGAUUAUAUUAACAUGGACAUUUAUUUGUCUCUGCUAAUACGAUAUUUACACUAAAAGCACAACUCUUAGCAAUGGAUAUCUUGGUUCUC